UGGAGCAGGGCCAGGAGCUGCCAGGAAAGAGGCAAGAGCAAGGGGAAGGGGCGAGUUCCCAGCCUGGCUCCCUGGGGGCAGGGGACGGGGGGGAGAGGAGCAUGCAGGGCCUGGGGCAUGCGUGGGUGCAGCUGGACUCUCGCCCCUCACACGUGGGAGAAAGCGUGGCUCUUGCACAGCGGCUUGUCCUUCUUGGAGUAGAACGUCUUCCCUUCCAGGUUGGUCUGGCAGAUCUGGGGAGGAGAGGACGCGCAGCCAGCGAGGCUGAGCCAGCGCCCGGCCUACCCUCCUGCGGCUCUGCCCCUGCCAGCUGCCCUGGGACUCAGCACCAGCAUCACGCAGACGCCAGCAAGCGGCAGGCUCAGAGCUGCUGCACAGGGUCUGGAGCCACCAGCACAGAUCGAGGCGGAAAACCUCACCGCAGCAGAGGCCCUGGGCUGCUGGUAGACCCCCAUGGGGUGCACAAGCGCAGCGGGGAGCUGAGGCCCCUUGCUAGCCUCCUGCCAGCACCCAGGGAGGCAGGCAGGCAUGCGACUCACCGCGCAGACAAAGCAAGUGUCGUGCCAGCUGAACCCCAACGCCUCCAGGAACCGGUCCCCAGCAUCGAUCUUGAAGUCGCAGCCACGGCACUUGGUGCCAAACAUCUUCUCGUAGUCUGCGAGGGGAGGCAGAGCCCAGGUCAGCAGACCCCAGGGCUGCAACCCCUCGUCCCAGGGCAGCAGGGCUGCAGCACAGCCUGGCACCCAUACGCGCAGCGCAGGGAACAACACUCUCCCAGCCCCGGUGGGGACAAAGCCUAACGUGCCAGCUCCAUGGCGCGAUGCAGAGUCAGGGCAGCCUGAGAUGCCCCCGUGCCGCUGCGGCACAGCCUGGCACCCAUACGCGCAGCGCAGGGAACAACACUCUCCCAGCCCCGGUGGGGACAAAGCCUAACGUGCCAGCUCCAUGGCGCGAUGCAGAGUCAGGGCAGCCUGAGAUGCCCCCGUGCCGCGCAGGGUGUCCCCGGCUNNNNNNNNNNNNNNNNNNNNNNNNNNNN
rnacentral:lncRNA from 1 species